rnacentral:SRP_RNA from 1 species
GCCUGGCGUGGUGGCACAUGCCUGUAGUCCCAGCCACUCAGGAGGCUGAGGUGGGAGGAUCGCUUGAGCCCAGGAGUUCUGGGCUGUAGUGCACUAUGCUGAUUGGUGUCCGCAUUAAGUUCAGCAUCAAUACGGUGACCUCCCGGAGAGGGGGACCACCAGGAUACCUAAGGAGGGGUGAACCAGCCCAGGUCAGAAAUGGAGCAAGUCAAAACUCCCGUGCUGAUCACUAGUGGGAUCGCACCUGUAAAUAGCAACUGCACUCCAGGCUAGGCAACAUAGCAAGACCCCUGUCUCU